UAAAGAUAUUUAAUCGUGUCAUAUAAAUAUUCAGUACAAAAUAUCACGUUUUACAAAGCAGAUUGAUGAAUGGCCAAUGAUGAAGGGCCCUUACACUACCACGACCUCUCAAACUGUUUCUACAUUGACAAAACUCCACUGCUCAAUCACAUUGUCAACAACACAGUAUACCGUUGUAGAGGUGAGCCCGAGUCUACACAUCAACAACCACAGAUCUACCGCAUCUGGAGAAAGAGGACAUCACCAUCUCAACUUUAAAGAAAGAACAUAAAUGGCGGUACGUUCAAAUGUGCAACACGUUCCGUUAUCUUAGCUGAGCAUGGCGCCAAUGCUUGGAGGCAAUUAUACUCUCCAUAGGAAAACACAAGCACGUCUUUGUAAUGGCGAUAUGCUGACACCCUGUAUGGAGACAGAAAAUAGUGAAGGGAAACAAAUGCUUUUGUGGAGUGCUUGCUGUCACGUUGAUGUCCAUUUGAGACCUCGCAUUGUACCUUGAGGCAGAGAAGCAGAUUCCUUAGAGUGAAGGGUUUCUAACCCCAUUAAAUGCUUAUCACAGCAACACUGCCGCAGUCUGAAAUGGCCACUUAUAAUGGGAGCCACAGCAACAAGCUAAUAAACAAAAACAAGGGGGCGUAAAAACGAGUGCUUGUAUACAAUAGCAGAGCGUAAAGAAUUGUCCAACCACUGUCAAUUACAUUGUUAAAUGUGUUGCUCUGGAAAGCCUCUUUUGGAGUACAGACUGUGAAAAAUUACACCAUUAUGUUUUGUUAUUACAUGUUUUGCCUCCUCCCAUGUAGGCCUUUUGCUAAAGUGAGGGCAAAGCUUGUUAUAGCUUUUAUUAUUUUACCCUCCAAGCCUCCAGUAAUGAAAUACAUUUCAUUACUGUUUAAUUCUUGAAGUAAUAGUGAUUAAAAAAUGGUUCUGUUUUGACAUUAAAAGCUAAACUGUUGUGUGUUCCCGCUGCAGGAUAACGGUUUGACCUUCUCCAGAGGACACCGCUCUGGGUCAGUGGCCCGACAGGAGAGGCUGUCCGUCCCUCAGGAAAUCAGCUGGGAGAGCUCCAUGUUCAACACUACACACAGUACAUGUAAUGAAGGGCGGUGAACAUGAUUAGGAGUCAUUUUAAAAGGAAAAUACUGGUGCUCUUUGCUUUUUGGCACAUCUCCAAAAACUGCUAUGUUACAUUUGUAUACAUUCGACUGUGGGCGGAGCCUCCUCUACACACAACACCUUUAUCAGAAAAACCCUUGCUUUAUGCUGUAGGUUUGUUUUUUAGACUUAUUAUAAUCCGACCACCCACAAAAGGGUAAUCAACAUUUUAGGCCACUUCUCAUUGCGUAGUUUUACUUUUAUAAUUUAAGGCAUUUCUUUUGAUCAAUUUCAUCCGUUUAUACUUUCUCAAAUGAAGUAUAAAAGCUUUACAUAUGGACAGUUUACAUUUAAACACAUGAUUUAUUUUUUUGUAUGAAUUUCUAAUUGAAAUAUCAUUCUUCCAGCUUGGUACAUGAAGUCAAAUCUCGCCGUGUUUCUUCAUCACACGUACGGAUACGAAAAUAACAUUGAGUGAAUUGUUUUAAUGGUCACAGGAUGUUGCAUCAUAACAGCGCAUGUGACUUUUAGAUUUACACCAUGCUGUACUGAGUGAAUCAGACCAGCAUUUCCCUCGAACUGAGCCUCGUGUUUCUUAGAUUGGUUAUCAGUUUAUCUCAGAAUUGAACACUGUUUUUUAUUUAUUUUUCAGCCUGUUGGGUGAACUGGAAAAAUCAAGACAUUCAGCUCAAGGCAAAACGCAACUAACACUGACUGGACACACAAAGCCUACGUCUGGUCACCGGAGACAACUGAAAGGCUCUCGUUAGGAAUCCCUGUCGCUGUCGUCGCCCCCGUACAUGUCUGCCAGUUUCUUAAAGCGGGGGCCCCACUCGCUCAGGUAGUUGUAGUCCUGGUCUCCGUCGGUGGUCACCGACUCCAGGGAGCUGAGGGACUCGGCCACGGAGCCGGUCCCUUCGUAGGCGUAGGUGGCCAAGGAGUCGUAGGGCGGCGCCGUGGGGUCGCUGUCGUUGUCCUGCAGCCUCUGGUUGAUGAAGUCUCUCACGUCCCCGUUGUGGUCCCGGAUCGGGGGCAGCACGGGCCGUCGGACCGGGGGGAAGAAGGUCUCGGGGACAAUGUCCCUCCGCUGCUUGGUCUCUUCGAUGGCCUCUGGGUUGCGCAGUGUGCCGAUAUCAAAGGCCUGAGUGUCCUCCUCUCCGCCCCCUUCAUCGUUGUAGCUGACAACGUUGUCUCUGACAUCCUCUUUGGAGAUGAUCAGAGGCUCCUUCUUCCUCUGUCUCCUCAGGGCAGCAAACAGCACCACGAUCACUACAGGGACAACAAACAAAGAGAGAACAAGCGUCAGACUUUGGUGACUUUUGCUGUUGUUGCUUUGCUCCCCCCGCCUUGUUCUGAAGGCCAGUGACUGUCCAGGGGGAAUUGUUGAUGUUGCAUGAGUGUUCAUUGAUGUUCAGGGACUUUGUCUGACUUUGUAAAAACAGGCUCGGCUACCACAAGGAUACAUUAUGUAUGUUGCCUCCUCAGGGCCAAAGCUGCAUACUUUCACAAAGAAGGCAGUUUAAGAAAACACAAUAAAUUGUGUGAAUGUGUUUUAAAUGUCAGAAAAAUGAGAGUUUAGUAUGUUAUUAAACGUUUUAUGAAAGGACAUAGUUUGCCAAACAAUUCAUAAUAAUAUGUUAAAAAAUAUGCAGAAUGUUUUUUUUAAGCAAAAGUAUAGUAUGUCGAAAUCAGAGCCGUAUAAAGAGAGAGCUGCGUCAUCUCCGUUCACUCGCCCCCAAAACCAUCUGAGUCUCAGUGAAUGGACUUCCGUUGACGCAACUCUCUUUAUAGGGCUCUGGUCGAAAAGAAGCUAUAUGUCUUUUCUGUCAUACUGUACCACGCCUGGGUUUGACACACUAUAUAACGUGCCUUAUUCCCACAUAAAAUACCACCGUCUUUUUUUGCAUAAGUAUGUUGAAAAAAAUUCUAAAUAAAAACAUGGUAUUGUAUGUGAGAAUACUGCGUUGAAGCCAGGCGUGGUACAGUGUCGUCACCAGUAAAAGUAAGUAAUAUUAUAGCGUGUUGAAAUAACGGCAAAAUGUCUAAAUAGUUUUACGUAAAUAUUUCAACUAAAAGAGUAGAAACGUGUUUACUGUAGUUAAAAGAAACUCAAAUCUUAUUUUCAGUGAAGCCACCAAGGGUACAUUUAAGCUCAAAUGUUUGCAAGCGUGUGUACUCACUGAGCAGAAUGAUGACGCAGAGCAAGAUGGCCACCAGGGCUCCCGUGCUGAGGCCCGCCCUGGCUGUGAGCGCCUCGGCGUUGCACAGCUUCAUGUUGCCCUCGCGGUCGCAGGAGCACACUCUGACGGUCAGCGUGUUGGUGCUGCUCUGCAUGGGGAACACCCCGUCGGAAAUGACCACAGGCACGUGGUAGAUGCUCAUCUGAAGACUGUUGUAGCUGUUCCUUCGCGUUAGGAUCCAGGCCGUGUUGUCUGAAAACAACAGGAUGUCCGGUUACUAUGCAGACAUCAAUAACCUAAAUGAAUACUUCAAUAAACUCUACUCAACAUUGAA